UAUUUCUCGACGGGCAUUCCUAUCUGUUCAUCUUCUCCGAUUUCUAGAAAGGCACACACCUAAGCAACUAGAACCUCCAAGAUGAAGAAAAUGGAAAUGAAGAAAGGUAAUUGCAAGAUCGACUUUGGACAGACGAAACAUGAGGAAGAAUACGAUAAUGAGUGGAUGAAUCGAUUGAACAAGAUGAGCACCGGUUGUUUGUUCAUAGUUAUCGUCUAAAACAAGAGGUUUUGAGUGAAGAAACAACAAAAUCAACUUCUUUGACUGAAUUUGCCCUCAAGUUGUUCGACCAAAUGCUUCUGCGAGAAGAUGAAACAUGUAUACAAAAAUUGAUUAUAGACAAAACUGCAAAAAAUAGUCCCUGUGGUUUGCAUUUUUUCAGGAAACAAGUCCAAACAGUGACUUUUUUUUGAUUCGUGGUCCUUUUUAAGUGGUUUGUAUGUGAAAAUGGUCCCUCCGAAAAUUGAAAUGACUAUAAUACCCUUGGGGUAUUUAUUUUUCA